rnacentral:rRNA from 1 species
GAUGAACGCUGGCGGCGUGCCUAACACAUGCAAGUCGAGCGGCAGCGCGGGGUGCUUGCACCCUGUCGGCGAGCGGCGGACGGCUGAGUAACGCGUGGGAACGUGCCCCAAAGUGAGGAAUAACUGCCCGAAAGGGUAGCUAAUACCGCAUAUUAUCUUCGGAUCAAAGGAUUUAUCCGCUUUGGGAGCGGCUCGCGUCGGAUUAGGUAGUUGGUGAGGUAAUGGCUCACCAAGCCGACGAUCCGUAGCUGGUCUGAGAGGAUGACCAGCCAGACUGGAACUGAGACACGGUCCAGACUCCUACGGGAGGCAGCAGUGAGGAAUCUUCCACAAUGGGCGAAAGCCUGAUGGAGCAACGCCGCGUGCAGGACGAAGGCCUUCGGGUUGUAAACUGCUUUUAUAAGUGAGGAAUAUGACGGUAACUUAUGAAUAAGGAGCGGCUAACUACGUG